CAUAGACAGCUAGGAGGUUGGCUUAGAAGCAGCCACCCUUUAAAGAAAGCGUAAUAGCUCACUAGUCGAGUCGGCCUGCGCGGAAGAUGUAACGGGGCUCAAACCAUGCACCGAAGCUGUGGACUUGCAUUAUGUGCAAGUGGUAGAGGAGCGUUCUGUAAGCCUGCGAAGGUAGAUUGUGAAGUCUGCUGGAGGUAUCAGAAGUGCGAAUGCUGACAUAAGUAACGAUAAGGGGAGUGAAAAACUUCCCCGCCGGAAGACCAAGGGUUCCUAUCCCAUGCUAAUCAGGGUAGGGUAAGUCGGCCCCUAAGGCGAGGGCGAAAGCCGUAGUCGAUGGGAAACGGGUUAAUAUUCCCGUACCGACAGUACUGCGAUGGGGGGACGGAGAAAGCUAGGCAAGCAUGGCGUUGGUAGUCCAUGUGAAAGUACGUAGGCAGGGGGAUUAGGCAAAUCCGGUUCCCUAAUGCUGAGAUACGAGACGAGCCACUACGGUGGUGAAGUUGCUGAUGCUACGCUUCCAGGAAAAGCCUCUAAGCUUCAGGUACUGUUGACCGUACUCGAAACCGACACAGGUGGUCAGGUAGAGAAUACCAAGGCGCUUGAGAGAACUCUGGUGAAGGAACUAGGCAAAAU
rnacentral:rRNA from 1 species